rnacentral:rRNA from 1 species
GGAAGGGGUGUAUUUAUUAGAUUAAAAACCAAUGCCCUUCGGGGCUCACUGGUGAUUCAUGAUAACUCCUCGAAUCGCAUGGCCUUGUGCCGGCGAUGGUUCAUUCAAAUUUCUUCCCUAUCAACUUUCGAUGUUUGGGUAUUGGCCAAACAUGGUUGCAACGGGUAACGGAGGGUUAGGGCUCGACCCCGGAGAAGGAGCCUGAGAAACGGCUACUACAUCCAAGGAAGGCAGCAGGCGCGCAAAUUACCCAAUCCCGACUCGGGGAGGUAGUGACAAUAAAUACUGAUACAGGGCUCUUUUGGGUCUUGUAAUUGGAAUGAGUACAAUUUAAAUCCCUUAACGAGGAACAAUUGGAGGGCAAGUCUGGUGCCAGCAGCCGCGGUAAUUCCAGCUCCAAUAGCGUAUAUUAAAGUUGUUGAGGUUAAAAAGCUCGUAGUUGAACCUUGGGCCUAGCCGGCCGGUCCGCCUCACCGCGUGCACUGGCUCGGUUGGGCCUUUCUUUCUGGAGAACCCCAUGUCCUUCACUGGGUGUGGUGGGGAACCAGGACUUU